rnacentral:rRNA from 1 species
AGAGAGAGACAUGCGCGCAUAUCAAUAAGCGGAGGAAAAGAAACUAACAAGGAUUCCCUUAGUAACGGCGAGUGAAGCGGGAAGAGCUCAAAUUUGAAAUCUUCAAGGUUUUACCUUGACGAAUUGUAGUUUAAAGAAGUGUUUUCUGCUGAAGUUUUGGUAAAAGUUCUUUGGAAUAGGACAUCAUAGAGGGUGAGAAUCCCGUAUUUGACCAUUAUUUUCAGCUUUGUGAUACACUUUCAAAGAGUCGGAUUGUUUGGGAAUGCAGUCCAAAAUGGGUGGUAAAUUUCAUCUAAAGCUAAAUAUUGGCGAGAGACCGAUAGCGAACAAGUACCGUGAGGGAAAGAUGAAAAGAACUUUGAAAAGAGAGUUAAACAGUACGUGAAAUUGUCAAAAGGGAAGCGUUUGACACCAGUGUUGUUUUCUCGAAAAUCAAUUAAAAAUGGCUCGAUUUUGUAUUGCUUGAGACCUUAAAAGCUCACUGUACAUUUUUCGUGUCUUUUUUAAUGCACUUUUCGUUUAACAAGUCAACAUCAGUUUCUUUUGUUGUAAAAGGGUCAUUGGAAGGUGGCUUUCUUUUCGGAGAAAGUGUUUAUAGCCUUUGGCCUCUGCAAUCGGAGUAGACUGAGGUCUGCAGCGUAGACUCUUCGGGGUUAGAUACAUUUGUGCUAAGUUAUAGCUUUUUAUAGACAACUUGUUGACUAUAAUUAGUCUUGUAGCUUACUCGCUUAUGCUAUUUUACCUACGCUUAGGAUGUUGAGUCGUAGAGCACGCAG